CCUACGUGAGGCAGCAGUGGGGAAUAUUGCACAAUGGGGGAAACCCUGAUGCAGCGACGCCGCGUGAGUGAAGAAGUAAUUCGUUAUGUAAAGCUCUAUCAGCAGGGAAGAAAAUGACGGUACCUGAGUAAGAAGCCCCGGCUAACUACGUGCCAGCAGCCGCGGUAAUACGUAGGGGGCAAGCGUUAUCCGGAUUUACUGGGUGUAAAGGGAGCGUAGACGGCAGUGCAAGUCUGGAGUGAAAGGCGGGGGCUCAACCCCCGGACUGCGCUGGAAACUGUACGGCUGGAGUGCAGGAGAGGUAAGUGGAAUUCCUAGUGUAGCGGUGAAAUGCGUAGAUAUUAGGAGGAACACCAGUGGCGAAGGCGGCUUACUGGACUGUAACUGACGUUGAGGCUCGAAAGCGUGGGGAGCAAACAGGAUUAGAUACCCGGGUAGUC
rnacentral:rRNA from 1 species